rnacentral:rRNA from 1 species
GACGAACGCUGGCGGCGUGCCUAAUACAUGCAAGUCGAACGAACUCUGGUAUUGAUUGGUGCUUGCAUCAUGAUUUACAUUUGAGUGAGUGGCGAACUGGUGAGUAACACGUGGGAAACCUGCCCAGAAGCGGGGGAUAACACCUGGAAACAGAUGCUAAUACCGCAUAACAACUUGGACCGCAUGGUCCGAGCUUGAAAGAUGGCUUCGGCUAUCACUUUUGGAUGGUCCCGCGGCGUAUUAGCUAGAUGGUGGGGUAACGGCUCACCAUGGCAAUGAUACGUAGCCGACCUGGGAGGGUAAUCGGCCACAUUGGGACUGAGACACGGCCCAAACUCCUACGGGAGGCAGCAGUAGGGAAUCUUCCACAAUGGACGAAAGUCUGAUGGAGCAACGCCGCGUGAGUGAAGAAGGGUUUCGGCUCGUAAAACUCUGUCGUUAAAGAAGAACAUAUCUGAGAGUAACUGUUCAGGUAUUGACGGUAUUUAACCAGAAAGCCACGGCUAACUACGUGCCAGCCGCCGCAGUAA